UACGGGGGGGGCAAGCGUUGUUCGGAAUUACUGGGCGUAAAGGGCUCGUAGGCGGCCAACUAAGUCAGACGUGAAAUCCCUCGGCUUAACCGGGGAACUGCGUCUGAUACUGGAUGGCUUGAGUUUGGGAGAGGGAUGCGGAAUUCCAGGUGUAGCGGUGAAAUGCGUAGAUAUCUGGAAGAACACCGGUGGCGAAGGCGGCCCACUGGAUCGGUACUGACGCUGAGGUGCGAAAGCGUGGGGAGCAAACAGG
rnacentral:rRNA from 1 species